UACGUAGGGUCCGAGCGUUGUCCGGAAUUAUUGGGCGUAAAGAGCUCGUAGGCGGUUUGUCGCGUCUGCUGUUAAAUCCCGAGGCUCAACCUCGGGCCUGCAGUGGGUACGGGCAGACUGGAGUGCGGUAGGGGAGAAUGGAAUUCCUGGUGUAGCGGUGGAAUGCGCAGAUAUCAGGAGGAACACCGAUGGCGAAGGCAGUUCUCUGGGCCGUAACUGACGCUGAGGAGCGAAAGCGUGGGGAGCGAACAGG
rnacentral:rRNA from 1 species